UACGUAGGUGGCAAGCGUUGUCCGGAAUUAUUGGGCGUAAAGCGCGCGCAGGCGGUCCUUUAAGUCUGAUGUGAAAGCCCACGGCUCAACCGUGGAGGGUCAUUGGAAACUGGGGGACUUGAGUGCAGGAGAGAAGAGUGGAAUUCCUGGUGUAGCGGUGAAAUGCGCAGAUAUCAGGAGGAACACCUGUGGCGAAGGCGGCUUUCUGGGCCCUACCUGACGCUGAGACGCGAAAGCGUGGGGAGCGAACCGG
rnacentral:rRNA from 1 species